GAGGAGACACCGCAAGUGAACAGCACACUGAUGACAUCUCCCCGUACGGGACAUUCAACAGAGAUUGCAGAUUACUCAAAGACUCCAAGUUAUGCUGACAUAGAAGGAAACGUGCAUGAACUUGUGAGAUCCUAAAGUUCACUACAGACACCAGGAAAAUUUCAUCAUGUCCAAGAUGAGUUUUGUAUGGAAGUGGAUCGCUUUUCCCAAUCUGAUCAUCAGAUGCUGGAAAUCUGAAAUUAAAACAGAAGUUGCAACAGAAAUACUCAGCAGCCAUCAAUGAAAGAAAGAAAGCCAUGGGACCCGUUCAAAGAAAAAUAUCAACAACUCUGCCCAAAAAAAAAUGUGCAAAUGGCAAAAAGAGCAUCAACCCCCACUUGCAAAAAAAUUGCAUUUUUGGCAACAUGAUAGAAUGGGCGAAAACACAGAAUCAAAAGAGUCCGAUCGAACUACAGUCCAACCCACAAACUGCAGACCCACUACUUGAUUACCAUCCUCCAACAGCAUUGAGGGAGAGAGGUUCAACUUGAAAAAGAGGAAUUUGGUCAUAGGAACUGAACAGGAAAGUAGACAACAUACCAACAGAACAAAUAUGAGCUGCAUAAAAGCAAAAUGGAGAUAAUGCCAAAGGAAUCAAAAGUCCGACAUUAAAACUUUGAAUUAUGUUAAUGAAUUCACAUUGACGACCUGAUCAAAGUGUCUGAAACUAAUGCUAAGGUUAAUGGUUUUCAAAAUGAUAAUAGAAAGUAACAAAAAUUUAGCAGCAAAAUGUAAUGCUAAAUUUGAAAGAAAUAAAAAAGGAAUCAAAUGGAGGAAAUGUUGUUUAUGAAGGAAAUAUGAUUAAGAAAAAUCAUCAGCUUUCAAUGAUGUACCAGAUCUAAUUGUAGAGGAUGAAAUUAUGAUAGAGAUUUUAAGUAAUUUCCUUAAGUAGUGGGAAAAUGGGAAUACGGAAGGAUAAGGAAGAAGAUUAUACGAGGACAAGGAAUGUAGAAAAUGAAUUAUUUUUAAAUAUAGUCAUUGACUGUAAUAAUUGAAACCCACCAGCAAACACUAUAAUUAUAUAAAAUCUGGAAUGAGAUAGCUGAGGGAAUGAUUAUAUCAGUAGUGAGAAUACAUAUGAAUUUGCAAAUAUUCUACAGAUAAAUGAUUAGUAAUUUAAGCUUUACCAUAAACCUGGAGAAGAAGUAACAGCUUUGUUCAAUAUUAAACUGUA